rnacentral:misc_RNA from 1 species
GUGAAUCAUCAAAUUUUUGAACGCAAAUUGCACUUUCUGGUAUUCCGGAAAGCAUGCCUGUUUGAGGGUCAGUAAAAUCAAAAACGGUGUUGUUGCUGCUUUUAGUGCUGACGCGGCGGAAUUGAGUUGUCUUCAUUUCGGUUAAGUGACUUAAAAUUUUGCAUGUUUUUCGUACGUAUUUAUAUUUCUUACGUUCGUUUGCGAUAUCGAAUAUUUUAUUAGGUUCGGUUAUCCUCAUGAUUUGCACGUA